rnacentral:rRNA from 1 species
AUUGAACGCUGGCGGCAUGCCUUACACAUGCAAGUCGAACGGCAGCACGGGAGCAAUCCUGGUGGCGAGUGGCGAACGGGUGAGUAAUAUAUCGGAACGUGCCCAGUCGUGGGGAUAACGUAGCGAAAGCUACGCUAAUACCGCAUACGAUCUACGGAUGAAAGCGGGGGAUCGCAAGACCUCGCGCGAUUGGAGCGGCCGAUAUCAGAUUAGGUAGUUGGUGAGGUAAAGGCUCACCAAGCCGACGAUCUGUAGCUGGUCUGUGAGGACGACCAGCCACACUGGGACUGAGACACGGCCCAGACUCCUACGGGAGGCAGCAGUGGGGAAUUUUGGACAAUGGGCGCAAGCCUGAUCCAGCAAUGCCGCGUGCAGGAUGAAGGCCUUCGG